GGGAAAGUGGCUCAGUGGUAGAGCACUUGCCUUGCAUGCAUGAGGCCCUGGGUUCGAUUCCUCAGUACCA
rnacentral:tRNA from 1 species